rnacentral:lncRNA from 1 species
UUGGUGUGGGGGCAGUUUUUAUGUUCUAUAAUACAAAGCAUACUAAAUGGAAUAAAUGGAAAUUUAGAGUCACAGUUAAACAUUCGACUUAUGUCUUCUCUUUUAAGCAUUUUAAACUACCUCUAUUAUAUUGAUUUUUAGAAGAAUUGUUUUCUAAAGAAAACUGCUUCCUGAUGUUGGCGCAGGUGGGCUCUCUGUGAUAUCUGCGGCCAUGGUAGUCCAUUUUUCCUACUAACUUUGUUAAUGUCCUGAGAAAAACUAGAAAUUUGAAUAGGAUAUAAAGAAUAGGAUUUCCCAGAAGAAGAGACAUUUUUAUCCCAGUAAUCCACAAUAAAAUGGGGUGUAGAGAGAUGUAUCCAGAGCUGCACAGCUAGUGGACGUCUGAGCAGGAGCCACAUGCAGAAGAGUCUGACUCCAGGGCCUCAGCGUUGCUGUGUUUAGUCAUUCCUCCCAAUGCCAGUGAUCCCUUAAAUCUGGGUGUUGUCCAUCAUCAUCCCUGCCCGUCUCCGUGCAUCCACAACUGCCACAUCCUGAGAGCUCAGUCCAUCAUAAAUGCAAUUAUAGCCUUUUACCUCCUCCUCACCAGAUACUCUCUACAGGGCAAGUUCAUCAAACUGUGUGCUUAGAAGCUCUGGAGCAGAACUCUCACCCACCAGAAGAUUGCCUCAAGAGAUAAAAGAUGAUUUACAACCCAAAGUAUGCCCACUAGAGGUUUUGGCCAUUUUUACAAUGUAUUCCUGCCCAUGAAGAUGCCAACUUGACUGCCCAAUACAUAAAGCACCAAAGCAAGUAUGCGGACCCCCCCACACCUCCUCACUUCUGCUCCUGUGUAGACCCCCAUCUUUAAAAGCACUUACUUUCUCCUGCAAAAGCAAAUCAGACCCUUACAGCAGGAAGGCUUUUCUUCUUCUCCUAAACUAGCUUUGGAAUAAAAAGUUAUUUUCUUUA